rnacentral:rRNA from 1 species
UGGGAAUUUUGCGCAAUGGGGGAAACCCUGACGCAGCAACGCCGCGUGGGUGAGGAAGGCCUUCGGGUCGUAAAGCCCUUUCAGUAGGGAAGAAACAAAUGACGGUACCUGCAGAAGAAGCACCGGCUAACUCCGUGCCAGCAGCCGCGGUAAUACGGAGGGUGCGAGCGUUAUUCGGAUUCACUGGGCGUAAAGCGCGCGUAGGCGGUUGGGUAAGUCUGAUGUGAAAGCCCCCGACUUAAUCGAGGAAGUGCAUUGGAUACUGCCUGACUAGAGUGCAGGAGAGGAAGAUGGAAUUCCCGGUGUAGAGGUGAAAUUCGUAGAUAUCGGGAGGAACAACAGAGGCGAAGGCGAUCUUCUGGACUGUAACUGACGCUGAGGCGCGAAAGCGUGGGGAGCAAAC